GGGCGAAUGGUCUAGGGGUAUGGUAUUCGCUUUGCAUUUCUGAGGAGAUUAGCUACCUACCUGCUCAGAGUCAAGUGCCUGCGAAGGGUCCGGGGUUCAAAUCCCCGUUCGUCCA